CCUACGGGCGACAGCAGUGAGGAAUAUUGGUCAAUGGCCGCAGGGCUGAACCAGCCAAGUCGCGUGAGGGAUGACGGUCCUAUGGAUUGUAAACCUCUUUUGUCAGGGAGCAAAGGGCGCCACGUGUGGCGCUUUGCGAGUACCUGAAGAAAAAGCAUCGGCUAACUCCGUGCCAGCAGCCGCGGUAAUACGGAGGAUGCGAGCGUUAUCCGGAUUUAUUGGGUUUAAAGGGUGCGCAGGCGGAACGUCAAGUCAGCGGUAAAAUUUCGGGGCUCAACCCCGUCGUGCCGUUGAAACUGGCGUUCUUGAGUGAGCGAGAAGUAUGCGGAAUGCGUGGUGUAGCGGUGAAAUGCAUAGAUAUCACGCAGAACUCCGAUUGCGAAGGCAGCAUACCGGCGCUCAACUGACGCUCAUGCACGAAAGCGUGGGUAUCGAACAGGAUUAGAUACCCCAGUAGUC
rnacentral:rRNA from 1 species